rnacentral:rRNA from 1 species
UACGGAGGGGGCAAGCGUUAUUCGGAAUCAUUGGGCGUAAAGGGCGCGUAGGCGGCUUCAUAAGUCUUGGGUGAAAGCCCUCGGCUCAACCGGAGAACUGCCUCGGAUACUGGGUGCCUCGAGGGUGGUAGGGGUAUGCGGAACUAUCGGUGGAGCGGUGAAAUGCGUUGAUAUCGAUAGGAACUCCGGUGGCGAAGGCGGCAUACUGGACCACCUCUGACGCUGAGGCGCGAAAGCCAGGGGAGCAAACGGG